GUUUUCUGCUGCAGGCUAGAGGGAUCAAAACUCAAGCAGCAGCUCGAGUAGCCUUUUAAUGAUAAAAGCAGGCAGCAAACUGGAGAUGCUCUUUGUGGACAAAAUUAGCCAUGCAAGGAAAGGAGGUUUGAAAGUAGUCCAGAAUGAUCUUAUCCAAUUCUUCUGGAAAAUCUCCCUAUCCACGGAAACUGCCUUGGCUGGAGCAGCCAUUACAGGAUGAGCUGGUUUUUGUCUUCAGCGCUGCCUGUCCCUGAAGAUCUAUGAGAUUCCUGGUAGAUUCAGCUAACGGGAUGAACAGAUACAUAUACAGACCUGUCACUGACGGUAUCCUCUAUAAAUUCCAGCCAUCAACUACUGAUCUUCAGAGGUGGAACCAGAGAAAAGGAAGGAAGGAAGGAAAUCUGUGGGCUGGAAUGCAACUUAUAUCACAUCCACUAUAAACUCUCGAAUCAAUCUGCAGACCCCUGGGACUCCACUCCGUGCCUUGAUACUGCAACAAAGACGGCCUCCCUGAUCUCAAGGUCCUCCAGGAUCUCUUUCUCCUGGUAAAAGGUGAACAGUCUGAAACAACGUGGAAGCAUCUGAUGUACAUGAUUUGGAAGAAAAAAUGUGGGAUAAAGUUCAUGUUUGCUUUGCUUUUCCUUCCUUUUGCCAAGUUCUAGUGGUAACUAAAACAAACAAAAUACUUCAGAACUUGUUCAUUCAAGGACCUUUGUUAUCUUUAAGAAUUAACAUUUACUGAAAAGCCUCAAAGUGCACAGCACUUUAAGGCUUUGCAUCCACCUUGCCUUCACAACAACCUUGUAAGGAAAAUCUUCAUUGUUCCCAUUUUACAAACAAUAAUUUAAAUAGGAGAUGAAAUUACUCCCUUUGCCUUAUACUGUUAGGAAGCAGCACCAAAGCACUUAGCAAGUGACCUGAACAGGAAGGCGUAGGGACAGACAAAACCCUGGCUGCCUUCUCGCCUUUUCUGGAGCUAUGUUUAGACUUAUCUAAAAUGUGUCUAAGGCUCACUUUCUUCUUCUUCCCCAGAGAUCUCUUUAUUUUUCUUUCUCCUUCUUGGUAGGAGGGGCAGACGUACACAGCUUCCCCACAGUGGAAAAAUAGACCAAAGGCACAGAAGUUCGCUAUGAGGGUUACUGUAACCAAGUUUAAAGCUCAAUUUCCUGCCUUCUUUCCGAAUGGGCUUCCUGAAUAAGUUUUCAAUUUUUUUUAAUGAGUUUCCAGAGUAGUUCAUAUCCUCCAGCUCAUACCCUAUCUCACUGCACCCCAGCUGACUCCACCAUAAGCCACAAUGAGGCAAGUGCCUCAGGCUUAUGAAAGGGCAGCGCAUGGCUUCGCACUAUUUGUAUUUUUGCUACCAGUGAAUGAGCAACCUGCUUGUGGAGUUUUCUUCUGCAGGUAUCAAAAUUACCAAAAUCACUGGGAUGUUAUGCAUUUUGUCUUGGCUGUUGGGGUUGGUGGCAUUUGCUUUUCUUUCUCAGACAGCAAAAUGUCUUGGGCUGGCCCUGCCCUGAAUUUUGCUGGUAUAAAUACCAAUAGCCUCACCUAGACAGUAUUCAGAUCCCCUACUCUACGUAGCACUCCAACUGUGUACCUUGCAUGCAGGUGAAACUAUUUUGCCUCAGAGCAAGCCACAUUUCCAUUCCCUUAGCAACAUAAAACACAAAAAUGCUAGUUCAAUGUAGUUCACACAACCUUUUGCUGUGGCAAAAUGCCCAGUUAAAUGACUACCUGAUUGCUUCACUAAACAACCCAAUUAUAUUCUAUUGUUUUUGACCAAGCACAGUUUAGCUGCAGGGUGGUACACAAAAGACCACAUCCUGCCAUGCUUUGUAAAGGUCCUGUGCAUAAGACCACAAACUAUCCUAGAUUAAUUUUUUUAAAACAUAUCUACAAAUUCAUGGUAUCACACACUGUGGAGUAGAUACAACCCAAACCAUAAAAAUCAUUAAAAUCCACAGAUAUUUUAAUGUCAUUUCUACAAACGGAG